rnacentral:rRNA from 1 species
GACGAACGCUGGCGGCGUGCUUAACACAUGCCAGUCGAACGAUGAACCUCGAAAUGAUUUCUUCGGAAAGAUUUUUGAGAGGAUUAGUGGCGAACGGGUGAGUAACGCGUGAGCAACCUGCCUUAGACAAGGGGAUAGCCUCGGGAAACCGUGAUUAAUACCCUAUGAGACUCCACUUACGAGUGUAAGAGAAGUUAAAGCUAUUGCGGUCUAAGAUGGGCUCGCGUCUGAUUAGCUAGUUGGUGAGAUAAAAGCCCACCAAGGCGACGAUCAGUAACCGGCUUGAGAGAGUGAACGGUCACAUUGGAACUGAGACACGGUCCAAACUCCUACGGGAGGCAGCAGUGGGGAAUAUUGCACAAUGGGGGCAACCCUGAUGCAGCGACGCCGCGUGAGCGAUGAAGGAAUUCGUUUCGUAAAGCUCUGUCCUUGGAGAAGAUAAUGACGGUAACCAAGGAGGAAGCACCGGCUAAAUACGUG